rnacentral:rRNA from 1 species
ACUGCCUGCCCAGUGACAACCGUUAAACGGCCGCGGUAUCCUGACCGUGCAAAGGUAGCAUAAUCACUUGUUCUCUAAAUAAGGACUUGUAUGAAUGGCCACACGAGGGUUUUACUGUCUCUUACUUCCAAUCAGUGAAAUUGACCUUCCCGUGAAGAGGCGGGAAUAUAUUAAUAAGACGAGAAGACCCUAUGGAGCUUUAACUACUUAGCCCAAAGAAACAAAAUUUAUUUCCAAGGAAACAACAACAUUCUUUAUGGGUUAACAGCUUUGGUUGGGGUGACCUCGGAGAAUAAAAAAUCCUCCGAGCGAUUUUAAAGACCAGACCCACAGGUCAAAUCACAUAAUCGCUUAUUGAUCCAAAAAUUGAUCAACGGAACAAGUUACCCUAGGGAUAACAGCGCAAUCCUAUUCAAGAGUCCAUAUCGACAAUAGGGUUUACGACCUCGAUGUUGGAUCAGGACAUCCUGAUGGUGCAACCGCUAUCAAAGGUU